rnacentral:tmRNA from 1 species
GGGGGCGACAGGCUUCGACGGGUUUGGCGAGGAUAUCGCAGCGUGCCCAGGUCGUCAGUCACCUGGUUAAACCACUGGCACAAUUCAUAACUGCCAAUUCAAACCUGGCACUGGCUGCGUAAGCUUCGGCUUCACGCACCUGCGUGAGUGGACGUAUCGCAAAAUCGGGCUGGCGUGAUUCGGGGCCCGAACGGGUCACGUAAGAGUUUUCAAGGGCUGGUUGCUGCCGUGGCCGGCGAGGCGCCGCGGUGGUGAGACCAAGAAGCCUCGUCUACGCACGUAGUGGCGGUAUCGGAGUCAUUCUCGGACCGGGGUUCGAUUCCCCGCGCCUCCAUUC